rnacentral:lncRNA from 1 species
GACAAGACACAAGGUUUCCCUCCAACAUGUUAGUUUGACUAUCAAAUAUGGCCCUCACACCAUAAGAAAAAUGUAUGCAGUCAAUGAGUGACAGGUUGAAAUACAACAAACCAUAAUUGACAUGCAAGCGGCAACCUAUGAAACCUGCCUGCAAGUGUAGAUAGUGUCAAUCUAGACAUCUAAUAGACUAAUAAACCUUUUUACUUGCGUUUGGUAUAAACUGCCUUCAGAUAUAUAUACUUUUGAUAACUUUUUGGAAGAUGGGUAUUUUUCUUAUAUUUUUUUGGUACUCCCUCCGUUCCAUUAAACAACUCAUAUUUUUUUCUAUUUGUUCCCUCAUAUAUUCCCGCUAUCAGCCAAUAAGUGUUCAUGCUCAUUUAUUCCUAAAUCAACUUGGUUUGGCGGACACUAGAAAUGAGAGCUUAUCUUGAUUGAAGUGCACAAAUUUAUAUG